AGAAACUCAUUAUGGUGACAGUCUCAGAUUGGUAAAAGGAGCCAAAAGGUGGGUUUUGAUAGCUCUGUGUCCGGUGGGCAAUGAAGAAAGGUGACCUGCUUUUCAGAAGGCAGAAAUGAAUCCAUUUCUUGGCUGGAAGAUAUUGCACAAUGGUUUAUAAUGCACAACUCAUUUUCCAGGCAGACACCCUGGAUUGUCACUGGAUCGAGAUUGUUGAUGAAAAUAUUGACCAGCACAGAGUUCAUCACAGUUCCUUGAAUUGAAGUAGAUUGUGAUAGAGGUCACCGGACUCAAGAAGACUGAAGAAUCAUAUGCUUGGAUUGUCAAAAUAGCAGCAAUAUUGAAGCCCUGAAAGAUGAGGGCAGGAGACAAUAUGAAGAAGUAGCAAUUUAAGAGGAGUUUCCUCACCUGAGAAUUAUUUAUAUCAAUGGAAUUCCAGGUUACAAGAGAGACACACCAACUCAUGGAACUGGACAAAGGAUGAAAAUAUUUCAAUAUUGUAGGUGAAACUGAGGCCCAGGGAAGAGAACUGAUUGACUUUGGUUAAUACAGAUGAAGCAAUCCCAUUGUCUUCCUCAUUGGGAGUGAGACCAGAAGCAAGUAACUAUAUCCUUCAUUCCCUCCAUUGAUCAUAAUAUUUUGAUGAGAUUGGACCAGUGAGGCACAGGUGAUCGAAAGCACACAUCAAGUUCGAAAGAAGGUAUCCACUCAAGGACAAAAGCAAUAUCAAGGAAUGUGAAUCCAUAUAUUAGAGAAGAAUGUUCAUUAAAUUCAAGAAAAAACUUAU